CACAUGGUGGCUCAGUGGUUAAGGCAGUGGACUAGGCUCUGAGAGCAUGGGUUCAAAUCCCACCCUCGGUGU